rnacentral:rRNA from 1 species
GACGAACGCUGGCGGCGUGCCUAAUACAUGCAAGUAGAACGCACAGUUUAUACCGUAUCUUGCUACACCAUAGACUGUGAGUUGCGAACGGGUGAGUAACGCGUAGGUAACCUGCCUGGUAGCGGGGGAUAACUAUUGGAAACGAUAGCUAAUACCGCAUAAUAUUAAUUAUUGCAUGAUCAUUAAUUGAAAGGUGCAAUUGCACCACUACUAGAUGGACCUGCGUUUUAUUAGCUAGUAGGUGAGGUAACGGCUCACCUAGGCGACGAUACAUAGCCGACCUGAGAGGGAGGUCGGCCCACGUGGGAAUGAGAAACGGCCCAGACCCCUACGGGAGGGAGCAGUAGGGAAUCUUCGGCAAUGGACGAAAGUCUGACCGAGCAACGCCGCGGGAGUGAAGGAGGUUUUCGGAUCGUAAAGCUCUGUUGUAAGAGAAGAAAGGGUGUGAGAGUGGAAAGUUCACACUGUGACGGUAUCUUACCAGAAAGGGACGGCUAACUACGUG